AGUGAACGCUGGCGGUAGGCCUAACACAUGCAAGUCGAACGGCAGCACAGUAAGAGCUUGCUCUUACGGGUGGCGAGUGGCGGACGGGUGAGGAAUACAUCGGAAUCUACUUUUUCGUGGGGGAUAACGUAGGGAAACUUACGCUAAUACCGCAUACGACCUACGGGUGAAAGCAGGGGAUCUUCGGACCUUGCGCGAUUGAAUGAGCCGAUGUCGGAUUAGCUAGUUGGCGGGGUAAAGGCCCACCAAGGCGACGAUCCGUAGCUGGUCUGAGAGGAUGAUCAGCCACACUGGAACUGAGACACGGCCCAGACUCCUACGGGAGGCAGCAGCGGGGAAUAUUGGACAAAGGGCGCAAGCCUGAUCCAGCCAUACCGCGUGGGUGAAGAAGGCCUUCGGGUUGUAAAGCCCUUUUGUUGGGAAAGAAAAGCAGCAGGUUAAUACCCCGCUGUUCUGACGGUACCCAAAGAAUAAGUACCGGCUAACUUCGUG
rnacentral:rRNA from 1 species